rnacentral:rRNA from 1 species
UACGUAGGGUGCAAGCGUUAAUCGGAAUUACUGGGCGUAAAGCGUGCGCAGGCGGUUUUGUAGUCUGAUGUGAAAUCCCCGGGCUCAACCUGGGAAUUGCAUUGGAGACUGCAAGGCUAGAAUCUGGCAGAGGGGGGUAGAAUUCCACGUGUAGCAGUGAAAUGCGUAGAGAUGUGGAGGAACACCGAUGGCGAAGGCAGCCCCCUGGGUCAAGAUUGACGCUCAUGCACGAAAGCGUGGGGAGCAAACAGG